AGGGAUGUAGCUCAGUGGCAUAGUGCCUGCCUGCCAAGCAUGAGACUCUGGGUUCAAUUCCUAGUACCCUCC
rnacentral:tRNA from 1 species